AUUAUCUUGAAUAUUAUUAUAGAUAAAGAUAAACUGUAAACAGCAAUAAUGUUCAGCAAAGUAAGAUUUACAAAUAAGUCAACAUGACCGAAAUGGUCAAUUGACCCCCUAAGGAGUUAUUUUCCUUUAUAGUCAAUUUUUAACAAUUUUCAUAAAAUUUGUAAAUUUUUAUUAACAUUUCCACUGAUACUACUGGGCCAAUUCAUUAUAGAUAGAGAUAAUUGUAAGCAGCAA
rnacentral:lncRNA from 1 species